GUGGAUGUAGCUCAGUUGGUUAGAGUACUGGAUUGUGAUUCCAGUGGUCGGGGGUUCGAAUCCCCUCAUCCACCCCA
rnacentral:tRNA from 2 species